rnacentral:rRNA from 1 species
GAUGAACGCUGGCGGCGUGCCUAAUACAUGCAAGUCGAGCGAAGCGGGGACGGGUGAGUAACACGUGGAUAACCUCCUAUCAGACUGGGCUAACUUCGGGAAACCGGAGCUAAAACGGAUACUUCUAGAUGGAUCCUCGCUGCAUUUGCUCGUUGGUACGGUAACGGCUUAACAAGGCACCGAUGCAUAGCCGACCUGAGAGUGUGAGAGUCCACACUGGAACUGAGAUAGGGGCCGGACUCCUACGGGAGGCAGCAGUAGGGAAGCGUACGCAGUGGGAGAAAGCCUGACGGAGCAACGCCUCGUGAGUGAGGAAGGUCUUCGGAUCGUAAAACUCUGUUAUGAUGGAAGCGGUACCUAAUCAGAAAGCCACGGCUAACUACGUGCCAGCAGCCGCGGUAAUUC